rnacentral:lncRNA from 1 species
CGGACAGAGGGAGUUUGUUUACCAAGCCUGUCGAAGUUCUUGCUUCGUCGCGACAGUAUCGGCGACGAGAGCUAGGAAGAUGGUCAGUGGCGGUUGCGCGGCAUUUUUGGCGACCGUCAUGGAGGUGGACCGGGUGGUGCCGAAAUUAGAAGAUUUAUCGGUGGUGCGGAAUUUUCAGAUGUAUUUCCCACAGAGUUACCGGGGAUGCCGCCGGAUCGGGAGAUCGAGUUUGUUAUAGA